AACGAACGCUGGCGGCAGGCCUAACACAUGCAAGUCGAGCGAGGACUUCGGUCCUAGCGGCGGACGGGUGAGUAACGCGUGGGAACGUGCCCUUUGCUUCGGAAUAGCCCUGGGAAACUGGGAGUAAUACCGGAUGAGCCCUUUGGGGGAAAGAUUUAUCGGCGAAGGAUCGGCCCGCGUUGGAUUAGGUAGUUGGUGGGGUAAUGGCCUACCAAGCCGACGAUCCAUAGCUGGUUUGAGAGGAUGAUCAGCCACACUGGGACUGAGACACGGCCCAGACUCCUACGGGAGGCAGCAGUGGGGAAUCUUAGACAAUGGGGGAAACCCUGAUCUAGCCAUGCCGCGUGAGCGAUGAAGGCCUUAGGGUUGUAAAGCUCUUUCAGCUGGGAAGAUAAUGACGGUACCAGCAGAAGAGGCCCCGGCUAACUCCGUG
rnacentral:rRNA from 1 species